CUCUCAUGGGUCUUCUUCUGCAUCAAAAUACCAUCAUCAACAACAUAAAAAUGAAUUAGCAUGUUUUCAGAAAAUUUAGGUUAAAUAUUCAAAAAAAAAAGAAGAGAAAACAAGUAAAAUGGUCUUUACGGUCUUCUUGGCGGCAACCAUUGUCGUCGGAGGACAGGAGAUCUUCGGCGAGAAGGGAACUGCGGCAGCUACAAAUGGUUCAGUUUCACCACAUGCCAAGAUGAAAGUCGGGACUGGCUGGAGGUUUGGUUCGCUGGCAGCUUCUGUUGAUGUUGGGAGGGAGAGGGAGAGGGUGGGGUGGGGUGGAGAAUCGAUUUCUGCUUGGGAGGGUAAAAGGGAGACCGAUUAGGCAAUCUUUGAUUUUGGAACGUAAUAGCAAAUCGGCGCUGAAGCAGAGAAAAGUCGAACCCGUGCAGAACGUAAUAGGCCC
rnacentral:lncRNA from 1 species